GACGAACGCUGGCGGCGUGCUUAACACAUGCAAGUCGAACGGAAAGGCCCUGCUUUUGUGGGGUGCUCGGGUGGCGAACGGGUGAGUAACACGUGAGUAACCUGCCCUUGACUUUGGGAUAACUUCAGGAAACUGGGGCUAAUACCGGAUAGGAGCUCCUGCUGCAUGGUGGGGGUUGGAAAGUUUCGGCGGUUGGGGAUGGACUCGCGGUUUAUCAGCUUGUUGGUGGGGUAGUGGCUUACCAAGGCUUUGACGGGUAGCCGGCCUGAGAGGGUGACCGGCCACAUUGGGACUGAGAUACGGCCCAGACUCCUACGGGAGGCAGCAGUGGGGAAUAUUGCACAAUGGGCGGAAGCCUGAUGCAGCAACGCCGCGUGCGGGAUGACGGCCUUCGGGUUGUAAACCGCUUUCGCCUGUGACGAAGCGUGAGUGACGGUAAUGGGUAAAGAAGCACCGGCUAACUACGUG
rnacentral:rRNA from 1 species